GGGAUUGCGGGCAGCCUACACAUGCAGUCCGGACGGUAGCACAGAAGGAAGCUUGCUCCCUCCGGGUGACGAAGUGGCGGACGGGUGAGUAAUGUCUGGGAAACUGCCCGAUGGAGGGGGAUAACUACUGGAAACGGUAGCUAAUACCGCAUAACGUCGCAAGACCAAAGUGGGGGACCUUCGGGCCUCACACCAUCGGAUGUGCCCAGAUGGGAUUAGCUUGUAGGCGGGGUAACGGCCCACCUAGGCGACGAUCCCUAGCUGGUCUGAGAGGAUGACCAGCCACACUGGAACUGAGACACGGUCCAGACUCCUACGGGAGGCAGCAGUGGGGAAUAUUGCACAAUGGGCGCAAGCCUGAUGCAGCCAUGCCGCGUGUAUGAAGAAGGCCUUCGGGUUGUAAAGUACUUUCAGCGGGGAGGAAGGUGUUGAGGUUAAUAACCUCAGCAAUUGACGUUACCCGCAAAAGAAGCACCGGCUAACUCCGUGCCAGCAGCCGCGGUAAUACGGAGGGUGCAAGCGUUAAUCGGAAUUACUGGGCGUAAAGCGCACGCAGGCGGUCUGUUAAGUCAGAUGUGAAAUCCCCGGGCUUAACCUGGGAACUGCAUUUGAAACUGGCAAGCUUGAGUCUCGUAUAGGGGGGUAGAAUUCCAGGGGAACAGCCUAAAUGCCGACAUAUUUGACGGAAUGCACUACCGUG
rnacentral:rRNA from 1 species